GGAUAUUUAAAAUUUUUUGUAUGUAUGUAUUCAUGUUAGUAUUUACAAUUGUGGAAUUUAGAGCAGUUUUAAAUAUGUAAAUUAUAAGAAGUGUUACCUAUAAUGCAAAUCUAUAUAUCUUCUAAGAUUCCAACUUACACCUUUUUUACCAUCUUAACUUUCCAUGUGAUGCUGUGAUAUUUCAGGGGUAAGUCUGGAAUUCCGCUAGUUCUGAACUAUUCGUGUUUGGAAAAAGUUCACUACUAGCAGAACUCGGAUUUGCUCCCGACAACCGACGGGAAUGACCGAUGGUGAAGGUCUUAUUCAGCCAUUGUGCUGAGCAGCAGGUGGUCUACAUGUGUGGAGUAGUGAUUGAGGAGUGCAGAGAAUUACUCUGAUGUCAAGUGAGCCAGAUCUACCUUUGCUGCUCUCAUGGCUCUGUGUUCACUUAACAUCAGGUAAUAUUCUCUAAUGGUUGUUCUUAAUGAAUUUAUCAGGUGUUUUUUUGUUUCUUUUAAUGCUGAUACUCUUCUUGUUUUGCUUUUCUUCCCCACUUUUACAGUUAGGAUUAUCAGGGGGAAUUCCAACAUGGUAAUGUUUGGUUGGACUGAUUAUCUUCAAAUUCUUCAGAGAGUCAAAAUAUAACUUUAUUUUUGAUAUCCAUUAUGUUUGUUUUUCAGAUGCACAGUUUGCAUCAUAUGUUUUUUAUUUCAUUUUCUGAUGGAUAAAUGCCUUUCAUACAAACAUGCUACAACACAAAUAUCAGAAAUAAGUAGAAGAAAGUAAACAAAGGAAGACAUUAUUUUACUUGUAAAAAUCUAUUUUCAUGCUUUUUUUCUUUUUUCUAUAGGUAACCUCUACCUACACUUAUCCCAAAAGGGUAAUCCUGUUCACCAAACUGCCUUAACCUUGUUGUAUUAAAGCUUAUGAGCUGAAACACCAACCCGCCAUAACAUUAUGACCACUGACAAGUAAGUUUCCAGAUGGAGCUGGAGUUUCUCAGAUGUGCUGGGUGACAGGUGCAACUGAUCUGCUGAUUGUGUGGAGGAGUAUUUAAGCAGGAGGCUGCCAGCACUCUGAUGCCAGUGUUUGCCUUCAUUGGCAGAGACCUGAAUCUUUUGGCUGUUUUCGUUGAACUCUGACUUUGGUUCCAGAAGUUUCUAGACGAUCGUUUGGUGGAUUUCGUUUGGAUUUCGUCUUCAAGGAGCAAGCUGGCAGCUUCCUGUUUUCCUCCGUCUCCUGAACCAAGGCAUAAGCGUACCCUGUCCACCCUCCAACGCAAGUACCUGAACAUUGAACUAACUCCUGAACUUACCAAGGCUCACUCAACAGCACGAGAAACCAUCUGGAUUACUCCACUUCGCAAACCUAGACCCCGAAUCCCUCUACCCCUGGAGACCUGACUACACUUACUUAUUGGCGAUUUUACCAUUCACGUUCCAGUCUCACUUUUUGUAAAUAAAACACCUUUCACUGA